UACGUAGGGGGCAAGCGUUGUCCGGAUUUAUUGGGCGUAAAGAGCGUGUAGGCGGCUACGCAGGUCCGUUGUGAAAACUUGAGGCUCAACCUCGAGACGCCGAUGGAAACCGUGUGGCUAGAGUCCGGAAGAGGAGAGUGGAAUUCCUGGUGUAGCGGUGAAAUGCGCAGAUAUCAGGAAGAACACCCGUGGCUAAGGCGGCUCUCUAGUACGGUACUGACGCUGAGACGCGAAAGCGUGGGGAGCGAACAGG
rnacentral:rRNA from 1 species